AUUGAACGCUGGCGGCAGGCCUAACACAUGCAAGUCGAGCGGAUGAAGGGAGCUUUCUCCUGGAUUCAGCGGCGGACGGGGGAGUAAUGCCUAGGAAUCUGCCUGGUAGUGGGUGAUAACGUCCGGAAACGGGCGCUAAUACCGCAUACGUCCUGAUGGAGAAAGAGGGGGAUCUUCGGACCUCACGCUAUCAGAUGAGCCUAGGUCGGAUUAGCUAGUUGGUGGGUUAAAGGCCUACCAAGGCGACGAUCCGUAACUGGUCUGAGAGGAUGAUCAGUCACACUGGAACGGAGACACGGUCCAGACGCCUACGGGAGGCAGCAGUGGGGAAUAUUGGACAAUGGGCGAAAGCCUGAUCCAGCCAUGCCGAGUGUGUGAAGAAGGUCUUCGGAUUGUAAAGCACUUUAAGUUGGGAGGAAGGGCAGUAAGUUAAUACCUUGCUGUUUUGACGUUACCAACAGAAUAAGCACCGGCUAACUUCGUG
rnacentral:rRNA from 1 species